CAUUCAGUUUCUCAAGUAAGUUUCACAGCAACUUUAGUGAAAGCAUUUCUGUUAAUAACUUCUAAGUAACAAAACCUACCUGUCUGUGGUGAAACUUACGCAAAGGAGUAGUACAAAAGACAAAGAUCUGUGUCUUUUCUCAGUCCUUGUAGAAAAGUGAGGUGGUUGUAGAAGGUAAACAUUCUGGCAUUUUCUUCUAAAACCAGUACAGCACCUGCAAGUCCCAGGCACAGGGCAGAAUACAAAGGGUCACGUUUGACUGGGAAACCGAACUGGAUUCUACUCCUGCUAAACUCUGUGAAUGUUUGUGGGCAAGUUAAAAACAGAGAGAGAGCUUCACUGAGAACUUACCUGUUUAAAUAAAUGGCACAAAUGGGGAGCAGAGCUUAUCUCAGAGGCCUGCUUAAUUGGAACUACCAUAAAGCUGAUGCCCAGUGCAUGGAGAAGACUCUGAGAAAUUUGCAGUUGGCCAAGGAGCCGAAGGAGACUAAUGAAUAACGAAUACUAUUCAAAAUCCUCUAAUUACAUAGCAGGUUGCUACCUUGGAAGAAAAACAAGCUAAUAUAAAUGCAAAAGGACCAGAAACAGCCCUUCUCCAAAUAAUUCACUUGAUUCAGCAAGCUGUCAGCUGCACUAUUUCAUUUUCUCUCUUCUUAAUCCUCCUUCUCUCUGCUGAAUGCCUUCCUACGCAGCAGCUCUUCUAAGCUAAGGGUUUUGUUAGUCCUCUGGCUUCUCCCAACCUGUACUACUACAUGUAAUGGUUCCUAUAAAUAAAAAUAUUUAUAGGAACUUCAGAGUUAUCUGAAACCUCCAAAUCAGUAGAAAAUCUGGAUUAGAACUGGUUAUUUUCAGUGAGAUUUUGGUGGAUUUUAAUUCUGUGUAGAGCUGGGCACCAGUUAAGAGGAGACAGCAAUCUGCUGAAAGAAAAGGGAACUGAAGCAAAUGUUCUGGGAUGCAGAUGCAAGAAGGCUUUUUUUAAAAUUUAUUAUUUUUUAGACUUUGAUUUCCCAGUGGCUUGAAUUUACAGCAUUUCCGUUCCAGGAACUUUAUCAGGGAAGCAAAGGUCUCGGUCUUUUCAUCUUACAGGCUCUGAGGAAAGGCUGUACAGCCUUCCUGUGCUCUCCUGCCCAUCUCCCGCGAAUCACAGCUACGUGCCCCUUACCGGUACCUUCCAAGUUGCCAGGAAUGUAACUUUCAGUAACUCAAAUUUGUACUUAUAUGAAGGCUAUAUAUUCACCUUUUGUGAAGACUUUCUGUAGAAUUCUGUCCAAAAGAUUUAUUUUUCCUUUUCACCAAAAUCUCUACAUUGGAUUUUAUAUUUUCUCUUGAAUACUUUUAUUUCUGAAUGUGAGGAUGCCUUACUAACCACAGUGCAAUAAAGAAAAGGAAAUGAUAAUGUUAUUUUCACCGUGGCUUCAAAAAAGGGUGUGUCUUUAGAAUACAAGAUGAUAUAAUUUAAACUCAGUUAUAAUUUUUCUGCUUUGUGGUAUGCAGUUCUCUAUAAAGAGUAAUGAUCAGUUACUAUGGAAACAGAUGUAUGCACAUACACUCACCUGCACACACAAAAAUGCUAAAAAGGUGCCAGAGAAGGCCUAAGCUUCUAUUGGAAAUGUUGUGUAUAUCUGUCCCUAUGGCUAAAAGGAGAUCUGUGUGACUGCUGUAGUGGAAGAACAACUGCUGUGUAUGAAAGAUGAUGCUGUCACAAAACCAAGUGUGCAUAAAUUGGACACAUUAAAGUCAGAAGCCUCCUUCUGAUGUUAGAGAAGCUUGGUUUUGGAGCAGGUGUCCAAGGUCAAUGACAGCAACAAUUUGCACUACGUUUAGGAUAGAACCAUGAUUGGAUUUGUGUGAUUGAACACAGUAGCAGAGUUGGCAGUCCUCUAGCAGCUUCCAAAGACCUUCUGGCUAUUUACAUGCAUAAUAUCUUCAAGGGUAUUUUUGCUUAGCCUUGCCUUUUGGUUUUGUCUGUGCUGUUAUAAGCCACAACGUCCAAAACACUCCCUCUUACUGCCAAUAGCUACCUGACUGACAGUUCUUACAAUCCCUUUAGCGGCCAAUAGCUGACUGUCCAGCUGAAACUCAAGAAUCAGUGAAGAGGGUUAUCUGCCUUGAAAACCAACAAACAUGUCAGAGAUCUGAAACAAACAACUUCAAAUGCACAGGGUAAAGCUUUAACAGGAGACAGUUGGAAAGGAGAACUUGUGGAGAUGGGAGAAUGAGAUAGGUGAGGCAGAAGAGUAGGAGAGGCAACAGUAGGGCACCUCCAGGCAUAAAUAAAAUCCCACAAGUCCAAAAUUCAGCAUAUAGUAAACUGUUUUCCUUGCUAACAAGGUUGGGAGCUCAUAAGAUACACAGAUCCUAGAGCUUGCCAAGUCCUGACGCUCAUGCAAUCAUGAACGUAGAAACGCUUAGGAAGUUGCAGGUAUAUAGACUCCACCCAAAUAAUGCUGUUUGAGACUGGGAAUGUUGUUUGUGAGACAUUAAGCAGUACUUUUGUUGUUGUUAUUUAUUAUUUUAUAUACCCAGUGCUUUUGAAUACAUGUCAGAGCACUUCUGUUUGUUUGUGUAUUUAAUAUGUAUUCCACAUCAAUAUGUGGAAGAGAUUAUUGUAAGUGGGAAAAUUAGGUCUGAAUGAUGCUGCUUAUUUCAUGAUGAGUAAAUUGAGCUUUUCUUUUGAAAGGUCACAAUGCUAAAAUGACUUUUAUGUCAGCAAAUGUCAGAUCAGAUUGAACUAGGUCUCUAGUAUUUUUUCACUUGCUGAAUACUGUAUGUAAUGUUAAAAUCCAAAAGAGUAAUUGACAUCUAAUUAUUGUCAGUGCAAUUAUGUGCAUGUCUGGUGUAACUCGGCUCUUGAAGUUAGAACACUGCUGGAAAUGGGACACUUUGUUCUGGAGAAAGUUCUGUAAUGAUGCAACUGAGUAAAUUUAUUGACAUACUUAAACUCUUCAGGUAGCUUUGCUGGGUUGCCUCUACAGCUGAUUUAUAGGUUCAGUUGACAGAGGACAGACAGUACUUGGAAAUGUGCGUCUGUCAUCUACAAUCAGGGAGAAAAUUUUGUACUGCUUUUUUCUCAU